GAGAGAGAGGGAGGGAGAGGGAAAGGAGCGGAAAAAGGUUUUCUCUUCACUUCAAGUCAACAGUCAUUGGUUCAGGACCACAGUGUACUUGGUUGACCACAGUUGAACUAUAAACUGUUGUGUUAUGGGUUUACCUAGCCUAUGGGUAUCUGAUACUUCAUCAUAGCUAUUGUAAACACAGUACCUUUUAUAGGCAUGGGACAGGUGUAGGCAUGGGACAGGUGUGGGCAUGGGACAGGUGUAGGCAUGGGACAGGUGUGGGCAUGGGCCAGGUGUAGUAGGCAUGGGCCAGGUGUAGUAGGCAUGGGCCAGGUGUAGUAGGCAUGGGACAGGUGUAGUAGGCAUGGGACAGGUGUAGGCAUGGGACAGGUGUAGUAGGCAUGGGACAGGUGUAGG
ensembl:lncRNA